GAUGAACGCUGGCGGCGUGCCUAAUACAUGCAAGUCGAGCGAACGGACGAGAAGCUUGCUUUUCUGAUGUUAGCGGCGGACGGGUGAGUAACACGUGGAUAACCUACCUAUAAGACUGGGAUAACUUCGGGAAACCGGAGCUAAUACCGGAUAAUAUUUUGAACCGCAUGGUUCAAAAGUGAAAGACGGUCUUGCUGUCACUUAUAGAUGGAUCCGCGCUGCAUUAUCUAGUUGGUAAGGUAACGGCUUACCAAGGCAACGAUGCAUAGCCGACCUGAGAGGGUGAUCGGCCACACUGGAACUGAGACACGGUCCAGACUCCUAAGGGAGGCAGCAGUAGGGAAUCUUCCGCAAUGGGCGAAAGCAUGACGGAGCAACGCCGCGUGAGUGAUGAAGGUCUUCGGAUCGUAAAAAUCUGUUAUUAGGGAAGAACAUAUGUGUAAGUAACUGUGCACAUCUUGACGGUACCUAAUCAGAAAGCCACGGCUAACUACGUG
rnacentral:rRNA from 1 species